rnacentral:rRNA from 2 species
UGGGGAAUAUUGCACAAUGGAGGGAACUCUGAUGCAGCGACGCCGCGUGAACGAAGAAGGCUUUCGAGUCGUAAAGUUCUUUUAUAUGGGAAGAUAAUGACGGUACCAUAAGAAAAAGCCCCGGCUAACUACGUGCUAGCAGCCGCGGUAAUACGUAGGGGGCUAGCGUUGUCCGGAAUCACUGGGCGUAAAGGGUUCGCAGGCGGAAAUGCAAGUCAGGUGUAAAAGGCAGUAGCUUAACUACUGUAAGCAUUUGAAACUGCAUAUCUUGAGAAGAGUAGAGGUAAGUGGAAUUUUUAGUGUAGCGGUGAAAUGCGUAGAUAUUAAAAAGAAUACCGGUGGCGAAGGCGACUUACUGGGCUCAUUCUGACGCUGAGGAACGAAAGCGUGGGUAGCAAACAGG